rnacentral:rRNA from 1 species
UACGUAGGGGGCAAGCGUUGUCCGGAAUCAUUGGGCGUAAAGAGCGUGUAGGCGGCCAGAAAAGUCCGCUGUGAAAACUCGAGGCUCAACUUCGAGCUGUCGGUGGAAACUUUCUGGCUAGAGUCCGGAAGAGGAGACUGGAAUUCCUGGUGUAGUGGUGAAAUGCGCAGAUAUCAGGAGGAACACCGGUGGCGAAGGCGGGUCUCUGGGCCGAUACUGACGCUGAGGAGCGAAAGCGUGGGGAGCGAACAGG